UACGAAGGGGGCUAGCGUUGCUCGGAAUCACUGGGCGUAAAGCGCACGUAGGCGGCUUCUUAAGUCAGGGGUGAAAUCCUGGAGCUCAACUCCAGAACUGCCUUUGAUACUGGGAAGCUUCGAGUCCGGAAGAGGUGAGUGGAACUGCGAGUGUAGAGGUGAAAUUCGUAGAUAUUCGCAAGAACACCAGUGGCGAAGGCGGCUCACUGGCCCGAUACUGACGCUGAUGCACGAAAGCGUGGGGAGCAAACAGG
rnacentral:rRNA from 1 species